GGAGUCUUCCACAAUGGGCGAAAGCCUGAUGGAGCAACGCCGCGUGUGUGAUGAAGGGUUUCGGCUCGUAAAACACUGUUGUAAGAGAAGAAUGACAUUGAGAGUAACUGUUCAAUGUGUGACGGUAUCUUACCAGAAAGGAACGGCUAAAUACGUGCCAG
rnacentral:rRNA from 1 species